UAUCGAUAUAUGUAAUUUUUGCGGAAUUUUUAUUGUCUGAAAACACUGGACAACCACAGAAAUGCCUGUUACACGGACGUUCUGACUUUAAUAAGGUACAGUAAAUCCUUUAUACGGACGUUCUGACUCGAAUAAGGUACAGUAAAUCCCUGUUAUACGCACGUUCCG